AAAAACAUCUCACCAUCAGAAUCUCUCACCAAACCUGAAAAAUAUGGCACCUGUGCCAGCAUUGUGAUCGACAGCGUACUCUGCUCUCACCUGCCCGAGCUUGACACCAACACCAUACGAAGACCCCUGUCCAGCACGUCGGAAAAACUCAGUUGGAUUUCCUUUCACAUCCUUCGAGCUACCAAGGUCAUUUCCGUGCUCCGCAAAUGCAUAUACAUGGGUAUUCCUUACAGGAACACGUAACUCCGCGGCAAGCUCGAGAAUGUUCCUGCAAGCACCCAGUUCGCCCAUGUUGUAGCCUCUCA
rnacentral:misc_RNA from 1 species